AUGGUCUCUGUGGACAACAGGCAAGCAAGUGGUACAGACAUACAUAUAGAUAAUACACCCACACAUAGAAAAUACAAAUUAAGUAGGAAUGGUCAUAUUGUAUUAAUAUCAAUGCUAAGUACAAACAUUUCUGAAGAGUCUUUCUUAACCCAUUAAACACUAUGCUUGCUUGUUUUAAUCACAAACACUGAUAAAUAUUUCUCCUCAUAAAUAUUGAAUCUCUACCUAACAAUGUUUUAUUUAUUACUGUAGGUCAUACCUCACUCCUGUUAGGGAUGAAGAGUCUGAAUCCCAAAGGAAAGCAAGAUCUAGACAAGCAAGACAGUCUAGACGGUCAACACAGGGGGUGACACUGACUGACCUCCAGGAAGCCGAAAAGACAAUAGGAAGAAGCCGUUCUACGAGAACCAGAGAACAAGAAAACGAAGAAAAAGAC
rnacentral:lncRNA from 1 species